UUCAAAAGGGUGGACGCUGGACGUCGGAGAGGGGAGAGGAGUGGCUUGGCUGAGGAGACGGCGGAUGACUCAGAAGGGGGACGGACAGAUGGGAGGAAGUAGCCCAGGAGGCAUUCGGAGCCUGUGGGUUGAUGCCAUAGCAGAGUAACCCGUUCAGCAGCAACGUAUUAUGGCAAUCAUAGCAAACAUCUUGUGCCUUAUGCUGCAAUAUGCCAAGAGCCUAUCCAAGGCCUGCUGGAAGGAGGAAGAAUCUGAGGCGGCCAGGAACAGACUGUUGUGUGAAGUACUUGAGUGGGAACAGCAGCCAGCUCACUGCGUACUCCCCUGGCUCUAGCAAUUGGCACAGAUCCACAGGUGAAAACGGACAAGGGAGGAUACGUUCAAGGAGCAAAUGGAUAGAAUGAAGAUGCUCCUGGAUGAGAUGUGGGCAGAGCACCAGGACAGGAUCAUUGCAUGCCAGGAGAAGAGAGUGUGCAGGGAGCUGCAGGUGAGGCAACAGGAUAGCAUCUUUGUCUCCCUGAUAACAGUGAUGGAGCACCUGGCUGCAUGUGUGGAAAAGGCCUCCUCCCAGAACCCUGUCCGCCCCAAUCAAAAUAACUUUCCUUUCUCUCCAUCUUCAUAGCUAGGCCGUGGUGUGUGUGUGCGGGGAGGGAGGGGGAUGGGGGUAUGGGACUCAAGGACAGCCUUAUCCUCCAGGACCUUGGAAAGCAAAAAGUUGUUCUUUGCAUGUUUCUGUGCCCCCUCCCUUCUUUGGGUCCUCACUUCUUUUGUUUCCCUGCUGUUUUCCCUAAAUAAAAAUGCAUGAU